rnacentral:rRNA from 1 species
GACGAACGCUGGCGGCGUGCUUAACACAUGCAAGUCGAACGGAAAGGCCCUGCUUUUGUGGGGUGCUCGAGUGGCGAACGGGUGAGUAACACGUGAGUAACCUGCCCUUGACUUUGGGAUAACUUCAGGAAACUGGGGCUAAUACCGGAUAGGAGCUCCUGCUGCAUGGUGGGGGUUGGAAAGUUUCGGCGGUUGGGGAUGGACUCGCGGCUUAUCAGCUUGUUGGUGGGGUAGUGGCUUACCAAGGCUUUGACGGGUAGCCGGCCUGAGAGGGUGACCGGCCACAUUGGGACUGAGAUACGGCCCGGACUCCUACGGGAGGCAGCAGUGGGGAAUAUUGCACAAUGGGCGGAAGCCUGAUGCAGCAACGCCGCGGGCGGGAUGACGGCCUUCGGGUUGUAAACCGCUUUCGCCUGUGACGAAGCGUGAGUGACGGUAAUGGGUAAAGAAGCACCGGCUAACUACGUG